rnacentral:lncRNA from 1 species
CUCAUAUUUAAUAAUGUAAAUAUAAAUACAUUAAUCUUUCUUCUUCUUUCAUCAUAAUAAUCAACACACUCCCAGUCCACUGAACAUAUAUACACACACCUCUGCAUACAACUAUACAUACAGGCAUACAGCUACUUCAACUCAAUUUUGAUCUGUAAUCACUCAAUUCACACGCUAUAUAUACAUACAUACAUAUAUAUAUAUAUGGCCGGAAAUUGGAAGCUUUGCCGUAUCGCGAAGCCACGGCGGCGACAGAUACUACAAACCGCCGUCACCAGCAGCUUUUGCUUAUUCGUACUAUUGAUCAUCAUUGCAGGUAAAUUCGCUGGCUUUUCUCUAGGAAACUUGAACAAUUCUUUCUGGCGACGGUGAUGAUAACUUUGAAUGACCUGUACUUAGUCUGCGUAUACAAAAAGUUCACAGAAUAGGUUAUCUUAUGGAUAAUUACAUGCUCAGAAUUAUAAAGAAUUUUCAUAUAUCUAUAUGUUCACUUCUCUUUCCUUGAUAGCACAUGAUUACUGGCUUAUGGUCGGUACUUACAAACUGUUUCUGACUUUAAGCUGAGAAUUGUUUGUUAUCUAAUUUUUUUAAAAUUUAUUUUUAUAUAUAAAAGUUACUCAUCAGUCAUAAAUUACUCAUAUAUCACUUUUAUUUUUAUUUUUAUAUUUUUAAUAACCCAUAAGUCAUUAAUAAGUCAAAAUUAGCAAACAGACGUUUUAAGCUCACAACUUAUCAUAUUGAAUCAGUUAAGUCAUAAGUCACAAUUUUAAGCUCAGCCAAACACGCUUUAGCUUUUAGAGAAACCGCCUCUCUAUCUCCCCUCUAGGUAUCGCAUUUGUUUGGUUUGUCCAGUGGGAUUAUACCGAAGCGUAAUUGAGGUAAAAUUGGUUGUAUAUAUUAAUCUUAGAUACAUUUUGACAUUAUGUUUGGUGUUGCAUUUCUGAGGGUAUAACCAUGUAGGUUUCUGUUAAGCUGAAGAUACUUUUGUACCGGAAGCCACAUGCUUGUGUUUGGGGCAGUAAUGUAGGCAGUAGCGAAAUUUCACCAGGUCAUUCUGGUAGUUAAGGUGGUCAAAUCUUUGUUCAACAAGUUUAUAGCUAAUCAACAAUCCAUACAUUAAUGGAAAGAGUAAUGCUACGUACCCCAUAUUUUGUUCCCAAUUUUUUUAGCAAAUGACGACAGAUAGCCAAGUUUAAUUGGAUGGUUUAGGUUCAUAUAGGGGGUCACAUUAUUGCUAGUGUGUCUAAAACCAAUCAUACAUUGCGAACCAGAUUUGAGAAAAAAAAAUUGGGAACACUUUUUGGGUGCCCAGCUCUGACUGAAAUUAAAGGAUCGUAUUAAGAAGCCAGAUUUAUUCUGAUGAACAUUGAGCAAUAUCAGCUGGUGUCCUUUAGUAAUUAAUGAUUAUAUAUAUAUACGUUUUUUAAUUUCAUAAAGAGAUAUUAUCAACUAUAAAACAUUCAAAAUUCUAGCUAUUUUACUGAAGAGAAAUUUCAAAAAAAAAACUUAUCUACAUUUUUUUGGGGAGAUUGAUGUAAUUUGUAAGAGUCACUUUGCAUAUUCCUGUUCCAAUCUAUCGUUACAAAAUAAAAGCUUUUUGCACAGGCUGAUAACCCCUCAGACUUUCCCAUUCUGACCCUGUGAAUUACAAGAGGACCAUGAUGCCCUAGUCACCAUGAUCCUAAGCUCAUUGUCAUUGUUUCUGUUCAUUUUCUUCUUGCUUUUUAUCAAACUCCAAGUCCCGAAUGUGGACCCUUGCAUUUGACCGGUGAAAAUCAACUACAGAGGCAAGUGCAUCAGCAGUGGGUUUGAUAACCAGAGUACCCAGCCCAACAAUUACGCAGAGUGCAG